rnacentral:rRNA from 1 species
GAUGAACGCUGGCGGCGUGCCUAAUACAUGCAAGUCGAGCGAACGGACGAGAAGCUUGCUUCUCUGAUGUUAGCGGCGGACGGGUGAGUAACACGUGGAUAACCUACCUAUAAGACUGGGAUAACUUCGGGAAACCGGAGCUAAUACCGGAUAAUAUUUUGAACCGCAUGGUUCAAAAGUGAAAGACGGUCUUGCUGUCACUUAUAGAUGGAUCCGCGCUGCAUUAGCUAGUUGGUAAGGUAACGGCUUACCAAGGCAACGAUGCAUAGCCGACCUGAGAGGGUGAUCGGCCACACUGGAACUGAGACACGGUCCAGACUCCUACGGGAGGCAGCAGUAGGGAAUCUUCCGCAAUGGGCGAAAGCCUGACGGAGCAACGCCGCGUGAGUGAUGAAGGUCUUCGGAUCGUAAAACUCUGUUAUUAGGGAAGAACAUAUGUGUAAGUAACUGUGCACAUCUUGACGGUACCUAAUCAGAAAGCCACGGCUAACUACGUGCCAGCAGCCGCGGUAAUACGUAGGUGGCAAGCGUUAUCCGGAAUUAUUGGGCGUAAAGCGCGCGUAGGCGGUUUUUUAAGUCUGAUGUGAAAGCCCACGGCUCAACCGUGGAGGGUCAUUGGAAACUGGAAAACUUGAGUGCAGAAGAGGAAAGUGGAAUUCCAUGUGUAGCGGUGAAAUGCGCAGAGAUAUGGAGGAACACCAGUGGCGAAGGCGACUUUCUGGUCUGUAACUGACGCUGAUGUGCGAAAGCGUGGGGAUCAAACAGGAUUAGAUACCCUGGUAGUCCACGCCGUAAACGAUGAGUGCUAUGUGUUAGGGGGUUUCCGCCCCUUAGUGCUGCAGCUAACGCAUUAAGCACUCCGCCUGGGGAGUACGACCGCAAGGUUGAAACUCAAAGGAAUUGACGGGGACCCGCACAAGCGGUGGAGCAUGUGGUUUAAUUCGAAGCAACGCGAAGAACCUUACCAAAUCUUGACAUCCUUUGACAACUCUAGAGAUAGAGCCUUCCCCUUCGGGGGACAAAGUGACAGGUGGUGCAUGGUUGUCGUCAGCUCGUGUCGCGAGAUGUUGGGUUAAGUCCCGCAACGAGCGCAACCCUUAAGCUUAGUUGCCAUCAUUAAGUUGGGCACUCUAAGUUGACUGCCGGUGACAAACCGGAGGAAGGUGGGGAUGACGUCAAAUCAUCAUGCCCCUUAUGAUUUGGGCUACACACGUGCUACAAUGGACAAUACAAAGGGCAGCGAAACCGCGAGGUCAAGCAAAUCCCAUAAAGUUGUUCUCAGUUCGGAUUGUAGUCUGCAACUCGACUACAUGAAGCUGGAAUCGCUAGUAAUCGUAGAUCAGCAUGCUACGGUGAAUACGUUCCCGGGUCU